rnacentral:lncRNA from 1 species
AUUGGGAAUUCUCUUAACCACCUCUUCACUGCACUUGAAAUUUGCUAUUCCCUCAAGCACCAGUAGAUUCUCCAUGAUAACGACAUCAUCACUCGAAGGUUCUGGAAGAUAAAAAAUUCCUUUCAUUUCAAUAUGCCUAAGUUGUGGCAUUCUCCAAAUCUCAGCAGGUGCAGUGAACACCUCCACACAAGAAACAAUCAACAUGUGCAGAUUCCAGAAGCGAGUAAACGAGGUAAAGAUCGAGGACAUGCUAUUAACUGUAACAGCAAGGUGGCGCAAGUUAACAUACUGAGACGCAAGGGACUUGAUCACGUGGCGUUCAUCUUCAGAAUAAGGAAACUUGUAUGCAUGUAAUGUUCUAAGCAACCCGGAAUUCUUAAUACGCGGGACAUUCCCAUAUUCACUGAUAAUGGACUGAGCACGUGGCAUAGACUUCAAGUCGUCAAGGACUUUCUUCUUUGGCGUGUUCAUGGGUAUAACAACGCGGCGUUGGCUACUUAUGCCUCGAGGACUAGAUUGCCCUAUCACAUGAUAGAACCCAUCUUUCUUGCUCUGGUUCAAGCAUAAAUCCCUCAACAAAUCAUGAAUUUUGACGAAUUUUAUGCUUCCUGUAGACCCCAUUUUAUCAACUAGAAUGAGAUUUCUAUCAACCAAGUCCUUUAAGAACUCUAUGGCAAUAGUUUCCAAACUUUUGUCAUUCAUGGGUUUUAAAAAUCCUUCAGAAACCCAUAGCUUCACGAGUGUUGAGACUCUAACCGAAUCAUCCUCCUCAAACACUCCCAUAUACAAAAACAUGGCUUUAAAUAAACUGGCAAAUGAUUAUAGCUCAUUUCAACAGUUUCAUGCAAUUCUUAUCAUUCUCCAAAUUCACUUUUGAAGCUAAGUUCUUCCUAAUUGAUUUCCAAACUCCUAGAGUGUGUUUCCUAUUUCUCAAAAUACCCCCCACUACUACAAUUGAUAAAGGAAGUCCUCUGCAAUUCUCUACUAUUUUCUUUCCAAUUUUCUCUAACUCAUGAGGCAACUUCCAACCCCAAACACUAAUUUUUGAGAACGAGUUCCCAACUUCUAACCUCAUCUAAAAAUUCCAUUUGAAGGCUAUAAUUGUUGUUCAAUUGGGAACUCAAGUGGGAAAGCCUAGUCGUCACUAAUAUACGACUACAAUUCUCAUUUUCGGGAAAGAAACGCUGUAUCCUAUCCCAUGCAUCGGUGCUCCACAUAUCAUCCAUCACAAUUAGAAACCUUCUUCCUAUCAAAUGCUGGUAGAGCUCUAAUUCUAGUUCAUCUUCACUCUUUUCACUCAGUUGUUCCUUGGUUUUUUUAGUGGCUUGAGAAACAAGUUCACAAAGAAUUUCCCUUGUGUUGUAUUGUUGAGAAAUAGUAGCCCAAGCACAAACAUCAAAACGCUGCUCAAUAAUUUUCUUCGAAUAAACAGUUUUGGCAAGAGUGGUCUUACCUAUCCCGCCCAUUCCUGUGAUCGGGAUGACUUGGCGCUCGCGUUGGUCCGAAACGAGCAUUUCCAAGAUUCCAUUCACGACACCCUCGGACCACACCACCAUGCCACUGCUGUUCUUCCCAGUUGAAGAAGAAGCAGAGACGAAGCUAUGCCGCUUAUCUGUAUUCCUCUGCAUCGCCAAACUCUUGAUCUGAUCCAUUUCUUGUAUCACAUUUUGCACAUCUUGAAACAACUUCAUCUCUUCCUUUGGAUUUCCUUCGUCGGAAACAGGGGAGAUAUCAGCUUCUGUGGAUCUGCUCAGCUGAAUCUUGGCCACGAUAUGAGAUUCGAUGGCAUCUUCAGCUGCAUAAGCUGCAUCUGCAAUACGCAUCUCCAAGGGAUCUGCUUCGUCGGAAACAGGGGAGUCAUAAGCUUCGAGAAACUCCUGCAAGAAUGUGAUAAUUUCAGUGAGGGAUUGAACUUGGUGUUUGUUUAGAGAAAUCGGAGGGGAAUGGUGGCGCUCGAGGUCGUCUAUGAUAUGCAUUAGAGAAACCAAGGCUGCGUAGGCCGCCAUGAUCGAUAUCAGUAGAAGGGAAACAGAGUAUAAUUAUGAGAAUUUUGGACAAGAAUUUGAUAGAAUCUUAAUUUAGCUUCUUAUUUAUAAUAGGGUUAAUAUGCAAAAACACCCCUAACGUUACCACCCCAACUACACUUAAGCCCCUAACCUAACGUUGAUAGCAACUAACACCCCAGAGUUAAUUAAGUAUUACGAUUAAACCCAUAAACAAACAAUUUCUUUCACAAAUUAGAAAUUCAUUUUUUAAUCUAUAUAAUAUAUAAAAGAGACGUUUUCUCCUCCAUAUAAUAUGGUAUAAAAAUUAUUAAAAAUAAAUUUAAAACAAAUAAGUUAUUAAGAUUUUAAAAUAUUCUAUUUUCUUUCUCUUUGUUAAAAUUUUACAAUUCUUUUAUUUAUGUCUGUGUAUGAAAAUAUUUAUUUAUAUAUAAAAAAAAAUUGAUGGGAGAAGAGAGAGAAAAAAUGGUGGAAAAAAUGGAGGGAGAAACUCCCUUUAUAUAUUAUAUAAAUUUANUGAGGCUUUGGGGGAAUGUGAGCGCAUACGGAGCAGCUAUAAAAUCAUCCCGACAAUAUAUGUGGAGGGAUUCCAAUUUACACAGACGUUUGAUAUUGUUUAGACAAUAAUAAUCAUCUUGCUCGAUUCCCCCUCUCCCAAAAUAAUUUAUCCCCAAAUUUUUGAUAUUGGGAAUUCUCUUAACCACCUCUUCACUGCACUUGAAAUUUGCUAUUCCCUCAAGCACCAGUAGAUUCUCCAUGACGACGACAUCAUCACUCGAAGGUUCUGGAAGAUAAAAUCUUCCUCUAGUCAUUUCAAUAUGCCUAAGUUGUGGCAUUCUCCAAAUCUCAGCCGGUGCAGUGAACUCCUCAAAACAAGAAACAAUCAAUAUGUGCAGAUUCCAUAGGCGAGUAAACGAGGUAAAGAUUGA